GAUUAACGCUGGCGGCGUGCUUAACACAUGCAAGUCGAGCGAUGAAACUCCUUCGGGAGUGGAUUAGCGGCGGACGGGUGAGUAACACGUGGGCAACCUGCCUUAUAGAGAGGAAUAGCCAUCCGAAAGGAUGAUUAAUACCUCAUAAUAUUGUAGUUUCGCAUGAAGCAACAAUCAAUGGAGCAAUCCACUAUAAGAUGGGCCCGCGGCGCAUUAGCUAGUUGGUGAGGUAACGGCUCACCAAGGCGACGAUGCGUAGCCGACCUGAGAGGGUGAUCGGCCACAUUGGGACUGAGACACGGCCCAGACUCCUACGGGAGGCAGCAGUGGGGAAUAUUGCACAAUGGGGGAAACCCUGAUGCAGCGACGCCGCGUGAGUGAUGACGGCCUUCGGGUUGUAAAGCUCUGUCUUCAGGGACGAUAAUGACGGUACCUGAGGAGGAAGCCACGGCUAACUACGUGCCAGCCGCCGCGGUAA
rnacentral:rRNA from 1 species